AAAGAAAGAUGGAUGCACACUAAUACCUAAAAUGAAAUGUUGUGUCCCAUCCUACCUGCUGCUUUCCCCAUUGAUAGGUUUCUCUUCUUUAUGCACUUCAAAGUUGUUAAUGACAUUGGAUUCCACCCUAGGAGGACCAGAAUACCUCCUUGGUCCAGCUGGGGAAGCAGAGAAAGAAAGCCGCUUCUUUACAGAACCCGCGGAUGCCUUUUCUGGUGUCCCAUUCUUCCCUAUUCCUAAGGGGCUUGGCAACCGGGAUUUUGCCUUUGCUGACUGUGUGGGUGUCAUGUAACUUGGAACUGAGGGUGAGCUAGCUAGGCUCUCAUCAUCUCUCACCGAUGAACCUGCUAUGCUGUGCCUCCGACAUCGCUCAGAUUGGACACUGAACAAACUCCUUGAGUCAUCAUCCCCACCCCAACCGCUCCCUCUUGGACUUGGUGACUUCGCUUUCCCUGUUACUGAUGAUAUAG
rnacentral:misc_RNA from 1 species